AGGACGAACGCUGGCGGCGUGCCUAACACAUGCAAGUCGAGCGGGGACAUGCGACGGAGCGGAAGUUUUCGGAUGGAAGUGAAGAUGUAUGUUCUAGCGGCGGACGGGUGAGUAACGCGUGAGCAACCUGUCCCUUACAGGGGGAUAACACAGCGAAAGUUGUACUAAUACCGCAUAAGACCACGGCAGGACAUCCUGCAGGGGUCAAAGGAGCAAUCCGGUAAGGGGUGGGCUCGCGUCCGAUUAGAUAGUUGGUGAGGUAACGGCCCACCAAGUCGACGAUCGGUAGCCGACCUGAGAGGGUGAUCGGCCACAUUGGGACUGAGACACGGCCCAAACUCCUACGGGAGGCAGCAGUGGGGAAUAUUGGGCAAUGGGGGGAAACCCCCUGACCCAGCAACGCCGCGUGAGGGAAGAAGGUUUUCGGAUCGUAAACCUCUGUCCUUGGUGAAGAGUUUGAGACGGUAGCCAAGGAGGAAGCCCCGGCUAACUACGUGCCAGCAGCGGC
rnacentral:rRNA from 1 species